rnacentral:rRNA from 1 species
GACGAACGCUGGCGGCGUGCCUAAUACAUGCAAGUUGAGCGAUGAAGAUUGGUGCCUGCACCAAUUUGAAGAGCAGCGAACGGGUGAGUAACGCGUGGGGAAUCUGCCUUUGAGCGGGGGACAACAUUUGGAAACGAAUGCUAAUACCGCAUAACAACUUUAAACAUAAGUUUUAAGUUUGAAAGAUGCAAUUGCAUCACUCAAAGAUGAUCCCGCGUUGUAUUAGCUAGUUGGUGAGGUAAAGGCUCACCAAGGCGAUGAUACAUAGCCGACCUGAGAGGGUGAUCGGCCACAUUGGGACUGAGACACGGCCCAAACUCCUACGGGAGGCAGCAGUAGGGAAUCUUCGGCAAUGGACGAAAGUCUGACCGAGCAACGCCGCGUGAGUGAAGAAGGUUUUCGGAUCGUAAAACUCUGUUGGUAGAGAAGAACGUUGGUGAGAGUGGAAAGCUCAUCAAGUGACGGUAACUACCCAGAAAGGGACGGCUAACUACGUG